AGGAAUGAUUGUUUACCAAGAUUAUCAAAUAUGAUAAGGGGGGAAGGAAACCUGUGUUUGCCACAUAUCUUGCGGAACCAGUGUGAUGAUGGUUGGUGAAAUAAAAAAUAUUCAAAAAAUAAUCAAAAAAAUAUUCACGGAAAUAUUCACGGAAAUAUUCAUGAAAAUAUUCAAGAAAUAUUCAAAGGAAUGAUUGAUUACAAAGAUUAUCAAAUGUGAUAAGGGGGGAAGGAAACCUGUGUUUGCCACAUAUCUUGCGUUCUACAAUAUUGCCAGGAAAACAAAAGAAGUGAUCUU
ensembl:lncRNA